AAAAAUUAAGUUUAUAACUAUUAUUUCUUCUUUGUGACUAUGAUAUGUUAUAUAUUAUAGUGAUUUUUGACAAAAAGACCCCUACAUGUGCGUAGAAAGAAAAAACGUGAUUUUUGUCUUUGCACAUUAAAUGAAUCUAUCAUUUUCACUUCUCACCUUUUUGCAAGAUCGAUUUAGAGAAUAUAGUUGUGAGUCUUACUUGGAGUAGAGAAAAGGGUAAAUCGACGGUUCUGGGUGUUGGGAGAGACGCAAGUUGGGCCUGGGCAGUAACAGUUCCGGCGGCUCAAGAAAUUUCACGGCGAGUCGAUUGCAGCGCUAUAGGAAAAGAAUCAAGAUCCGGUUGGAACAGUCUUCGUCGUGUCGCGAAAUAAGGAUGGAGCAGUUAGGGUUGCCCGAGCGUUUUGUAUCAUACAGAGUUCAAACCCACUGGAAGGAAAAGAACCAACAGCAACUUCAAUUUGCAAUGGAUAGAGGCAUUAAAGUAGCUCUUUCAGAUGCUAGCACGAGCAAUUGGCUUCGCAGUGGGUUAAAUCGGAGUUCAAAAAAAUAAUGCUAAUGGGAACCCUACAUUUUCUGUCAUAAUAAUACUUAUAUUGCUAUAUGUUUUAAUCUUUGUCUUCUUGUUAAUGUAUCUUGAAUACUAGUGUCUAUCGUGUACACAUUUCUCGCAGCAUCAAUUUUGGGAUGAAACUAA